rnacentral:lncRNA from 1 species
ACAACAUGGUGAAACCCCAUCUCUACUAAAAAUACAAAAUUAGCUGGGCAUAGUGGUGUAGUCUCAGCUAUUCGGGAGGCUGAAGUGGGAGAAUCACUUGAGCCUGGGAGGUGGAGACUGCGGUGAGCCAAGAUCAUGCCACUGCACUCCAGCCUGGGUGACAGAGUGAGACUCUGUCUCAAAAACAAACAAAGAAACAAAGAAACAGACAAACAAAACUUUGUAGACCAAAGCUACAGUAAUCAAAACUUACUACAAAGCUACUGUAAUCAAAACUGUGGAACUGUCAUAAAGUCA